rnacentral:tRNA from 1 species
GAUGGAGCUCAGUAGUAGAGUGCUUGCCUAGUAUGCAUAAGGCCCUGGGUUCAAUCUCCAGCUCCAUUA